rnacentral:rRNA from 1 species
GUGACAGGUGAGUACGUCUAGCUUUUCCUUCGGGACAGCAGAGACAGGUGGUGCAUGGUUGUCGUCAGCUCGUGUCGUGAGAUGUUGGGUUAAGUCCCGCAACGAGCGCAACCCUUUAUUGCCAGUAGCCAGCAGGUAAAGCUGGGCACUCUGGAUGAGACUGCCAGGGAUAACCUGGAGGAAGGUGGGGAUGACGUCAAAUCAUCAUGCCCCUUAUGACUUGGGCUACACACGUGCUACAAUGGCGUAAACAAAGGGAAGCGAACCUGCGAGGGGGAGCAAAUCCCAAAAAUAACGUCCCAGUUCGGAUUGUAGUCUGCAACCCGACUACAUGAAGCUGGAAUCGCUAGUAAUCGCGGAUCAGCAUGCCGCGGUGAAUACGUUCCCGGGCCUUGUACAC